UCCUUUCUAGCUCAGUGGUAGAGCGCUUGACUGUUAAUCAAGAUGGCGUAGGUUCAAACCCUACGAAAGGAG
rnacentral:tRNA from 1 species